GAUGAAGAACGUAGCGAAAUGCGAUACGUAAUGUGAAUUGCAGAAUUCAGUGAAUCAUCGAAUCUUUGAACGCACAUUGCGCCUGCCAGCACUCUGGCAGGCAUGCCUGUUCGAGCGUCAUUUCAACCAUCAAGCCCUAGGCUUGCGUUGGAGCCCUGCGGCUGCCGCAGGCCCCUAAAAGCAGUGGCGGGCUCGCUAUCACACCGAGUGCAGUAGAUUACUCUUCGCUCAGGGCGUGUGGCGGGUUCCAGCCGUGAAACCCCCUACUUCUCAAGGUUGACCUCGGAUCAGGUAGUAAUACCCGCUGAACUUAAGCAUAUCAAUAAGCGGAGGA
rnacentral:misc_RNA from 1 species